AGAGUUUGAUCAUGGCUCAGAAUGAACGUUGGCGGCGUGGAUUAGGCAUGCAAGUCGUACGAGAAUCGUAGCAAUACGAGGAAAGUGGCGAAAGGGAGAGGAUUACGUGGGAAUCUACCCUCAGACCUGGGAUAGCGGCGGGAAACUGCCGGUAAUACCAGAUAAUGUCUUUGGACCAAAGGUGUGAUUCCGUCUGGGGAUGAGCCCACGUCCUAUUAGCUUGUUGGUGGGGUAAUGGCCUACCAAGGCAAUGAUGGGUAGCGGGUGUGAGAGCACGACCCGCCUCACUGGGACUGAGAUACUGCCCAGACACCUACGGGUGGCUGCAGUCGAGAAUCUUCGGCAAUGGGCGAAAGCCUGACCGAGCGACGCCGCGUGCGGGAUUGAAGGCCUUCGGGUUGUAAACCGCUGUCGUAGGGGAGCAAGAGAAGAGGGUUCUCCCUCUGAUUUGAGCGAUCCUAGGAGGAAGGACGGGCUAAGUUCGUGCCAGCAGCCGCGGUAAGACGAACCGUCCGAACGUUAUUCGGUAUCACUGGGCUUAAAGAGUUCGUAGGCGGCUCCGUAGGUGAGGUGUGAAAUCCCUCGGCUCAACCGAGGAAUUGCGCUUCAAACCGUGGAGCUAGAGGAAGAUAGGGGUGAGCGGAACAGAUGGUGGAGCGGUGAAAUGCGUUGAUAUCAUCUGGAACACCGGUGGCGAAAGCGGCUCGCUGGAUCUUUUCUGACGCUGAGGAACGAAAGCUAGGGGAGCGAACGGGAUUAGAUACCCCGGUAGUCCUAGCCGUAAACGAUGAGCACUAGUCUGUGGGGACCCUCACAUCCUCUCGGACGUAGCGAAAGUGUUAAGUGCUC
rnacentral:rRNA from 1 species